UUGAGAACCAUUUUUCUUUGCCAAAUUUUUAAAUUAAUAUUCUUUGUUAUUGCUUCCAAAUUUGUCUCCUCAUUCCACCCAAAUCUUUAAUUCAAUUGAAGAGUAAGCCAUGAACAGAAAGAUUAACUAAGGUUUAAUUCCCAUACUUCUGAGUCUCAUGACCCUUUAACACUUAAAAGUAAGGACCUCAAAGAGCUUUUGUUUAUGUUGGAUAUAAUUCAUCAGUAUUUUCUUCAUGAGAAAGAAUUUAAUAUCUAUGUAUUUAUUUAAAAACAAUAAUAUAGGAGUUCCCUGGUGGCCUCACUUUUAAGGAUCUGGCAUUGUCACUGCUGUGGCUUGGGUCACUGCUAUGGCGCAGGUUUGAUCACUGGUCCAGGAACUUCUGCAUGCAGUGAGCUUAGCCAAAAAACAAAACAAAACAAAACAAACAGUGAUAAGCCCAUUGCAUGUUUGUGUAAAUUACAUAUUUUAUGAAAAUGAGCUAUAUUUUUCAGAAAAAAAAUCAGAGUACCAUUGUUAAACUGUUACAAAUAUCUUUAAUGUCUCCCUAAAUAGAAGACAGCUGAAUUCUCAUCUGCCUCUUUCAUCUUAUCGGUAGAUGUUGUUUUGGUUGAAGUAGGUAAAGAAAAUUCCACAUAGACAUGUAGUUGGAAAAGAGAAGGGUAUUUCAAUUGCCUUUUCAAGUACUUCUAGAUAUUUUUCUUUAAUACUUGCCCAAACUCACCAAGUAUGCAGUCAUCUCUUAAAUGUUACUAUGUUACGUUAAAAUUCUUCUUUCACUUGGAAUGGCUCUUUUACCCGUAGCUUGGUGACAUGAAGAAUACUGGUUUACUGAGUUGCGCUGCUUCUAAAGCUUUUGACAUAUUGUCAAGUUUAUUGUUCUAAUAUCAAAAAUCCUGACCAUCAGCAUCACCACAAAUCUUAGCAGUUUCUUCAAGCAUUAGGUUGUUGUCAAGCUCACAGCAGUGAUGAGUUUUCCAAAGUUCUAAUUUUCACUUGAAAACUUGGAUUUUAUCUUGGGCAAAAAAAUACUGCCAAUUGUUUCCCUUGAAGUGAGUCUGUCACUUCCUAAUUUUUGAGAAAAUGUUUGACAAAUACUCAAGUAUGAAUAACUAUAAUUUGUAAGUCGUUCUUUCAGACAAAAACUUGUGUAUGUUCUGUGGACAAUGGCUAUUUAGCUUGCAGCCCAUAGAAUUAAAUGUGCACUUGAGACAAACAUCCUACUUCAGUGUGUAGCAAAAGUGGCUUAUGUGGCCUUCCCGUUUGUCACACAGGACGUUUUUUAAGCAUAACUUAAUAGUUGAGAUAUAAUAGGAUUCAUCAUUUUUAUGUUUUAUCAGAUACAUUCUUAAGAGAAACUGGCUCUUUUUUUUUUUUUUAACUGCACAUGCCUGAUAUUAAAGAAUUCAAUAUCUGCUACCAUAGUUUGGUGCUGCUGUCUUGAUAUUUGCUUACAUACCAGCAGGGGAAUUACACUGUUGGUGCAAAUAUCAACACAGUGAAAAAGGCAAAUAACACCUUAUAAUCAUAUUGAAAAACGUUUUUGACCUUGGUAACCUCCAGAGGCCCACAGAAUAACUUUGAGACCUGCUUAUCUUUGAUCAUUGUUCUACUCCACGUUUCAUUUGAAUGGUAUAGAAGAUAUCUUCUGAUAGACUAACAAUACUUCUUCAGACUAGAACUUAGUAGAUCCCAAGAACUGUAUGUGGCAUUCCAGAAACAUACCUCUCACUACCACCAAAAUGGUGGGAAGAUAAAGUUGUUCUUGAUAAAACUCAGAGGUUAGAAAUGUGUCUAUGUCAUUUUAGUUUUUCUUGAUGGAGCUAUUUGUGAACUUAUUUAUACCUUUUUGAACAUUUUUUCCACAUUUAGCCUACAUAUGUUGGAGUAAUAAGUUUUGAAACCUUACAUAUCAGCCCUACUUUUUCCUUUUUUUCCCUUAAAGAAUAGGUUCCAGUUCCAAGGAAUGUGGUGAAAGAAAUACAUACUCACUCACUUUCCAGUACAACUGUGCAUUCAAAUUAGGUGCUCAAUACAUAUCUGGUUGACCAUACAAUUUAAUUUGUAUACCCUUUAUAAUCUUGCUAGUUUUAUGGUCUAAUGGUGACUUUUAACCUCCAUCCAGCUAGGCAGAAGAGGGCUAUUUUUUUAGAUUUCUAUAACAUUUGAAGGCAAAAGUAAGGCUGUAUAUUGAAAACAGAAUGAUUAAGGAAACUGUGGCAUACUAAAACAUAAGCCUGCUCCCUUUUCAAAGGCCUUUCCAUGGUACAGCCAUGACAGCCAAGACCCUGGCUGCUGGCCUUAUCCACACACUCCUAUCAUCAGGCAGCUGAAUGAUCCUGAGAAAACUGAGAAGCCCAAGAGAUAAGACUUAAAGAUAACUGGCAUUGGGGUUUCCCCAAAGAACCAGAUGAGUCUUAUGUACAGAAAGGUCUCCCAUUGUACAAGCUGUACUUGAUAUAGAAGAAAGAGGAAGAUGGUAUCCAACAGAAGAAAGGUGAUAACAAUUUCUAGGCUGUUAACUGAAUGAACCCCUGGGUUAAUAAUUUAGUAAGAAACAAGAGGAAGCAGUCUAAGAUGGACAUCUCCAAGGGGGGGAAAUGGAACGUAGAAAUUACCCAUUAAAUUUGACCAUAUCGAGGGAAAUUUUGGAGACCUGAAUAGAGAAUUGGGAGAUAAAUUAAUAAAUAGAAAACUAUGCAAAUAGAUCCCAGUGGGAACUAUAUGUAAUCACUUAUGAUGGAGCAUGAUAAUGUGAGAUAAAGAAUGUAUAUAUAUAUGUGUGUGUGUGUGUGUGACUAGGUCAACUUGCUGUACAGCAGAAAAUUGACAGAACACUGUAAACCAGCUAUGAUGGAAAAAAAAAUCAUUUAAAAGAAAAAAAAAA
rnacentral:lncRNA from 1 species